UUUUCAGUGCAAAUCUGUUCAAUUAGAAAAUGCUCAAACACCCUCUCAAUAACUGACUAUUAUUGAGUCAGUUAAUAAUGACUGAAUGCAACCCUGCCUUGCUUUGGAUUCCUUUUGGAUUUCUUCAGCUUUGCCUUGUGAUUUAUGCACAACUUUGUUAAGAUGAAGUUCAAUUACCGGCUGUGACAGAUGCAGAGUUACCACAGCUCAGCUGACACGUGUUUCAGGACUGCUUUUCCUCAAAGGGGAUGAACCAAUGAAAAGACUUCAACCUCACCUAUAAAAUGGUAGUGAUAAACUUGAAGGAAGAGACGUUGCCAGUGCUGGGCAUGAGAACUGCCAAA